rnacentral:lncRNA from 1 species
UCUGUUUCAAAACCAACAAAUCAUAUUUUUAUAAAAGAAAAUCAUGACUUUUUAAAAGUAACCAUAAACACCCCAUUAUUAGGGUAUUUUAUGACUUUAAAAUUGUAACCAUUAAAACUGUCUUUUGAGCUACCUAAUCAACUUAAUUAGAGCGGUAAAUCCAGCCCAUUUUGAAAGUUGCUGCCACAAAAACUCCCCCUUUAGAAUCAUUUGGACACAUGCAAUAGCAUCACAAUCACGUUGCGUAUAAGACACUACCAGAAAAUUGGCUAUGACGCCACUUGUACUAUUUAGCCAUAGAAACAUUCAAAAAUUAUUUUAACAUCAAAUGAGAACGAAUAGGCUACAAAAUAAAUUUUGUUUAUGUGUCUAAUUAUAUUUGCCUAAGUUACUCUUGCAGUGCAUAUUAGAGCGCGGUUAGUAUUUGUACCCCUAUGCUUUUUAUUACAAUCUUGUUGUAAAAAUCUCCCUUCCAAGUGUAUCAAGUAACUUUUUAAUUUGAUUCUUCCAUUCGUAUACUAUGCAAUUAAAAAUACUGAGUUAAAAAAUUAGCACCGUUUAACAAUAUAUAUUUAAAAAAUACCAUCAUUUGAAUAAUAUGACCUUUUAAAAAUAUGACUAUUUUAAAAAUAUAUAUUUAACAAAUUACCAUUGUUAAUAAUGUGACUAUUUAAAAAACAUAAGGUUAAAAAAACUUGAAUAAUAAUUACAUUAAAUAGUACAAAAAUAAUAGUGAUAGAAUAGAAUGAGAAUAGAGACAGGACUGAUGAAUUAGUGUUAAAAAAUAACUAACCAAAUAAAAAUUUAUGAUUUUUAAGUAGAAAUUAGCCUUAAAGUUAGUUAGGCUAUGUGAUGAUUCUCCAAGAUAACAAAUAUAUUUUGGCAGGUCUGCAAGUACGCCCUAUGUAUAUCAAUACAAUAUUAAGUUCAGUUUGUGAUAAAUGUUACACACGUCUUAUUAUAAAUGUUAUAUCGUGGGUGAAUUUUACGAGGGUGUUGUAUGUUAAGAAUAGAAAAAAUAUGUUAUGCAAUCAUUGUGGUAAAUAAAAAUUGUAGUUUUUUCUGUUACGUUUGUGAUAAAUAUUAUUAUCAUUUGUGAUAAUGUUAUACAUGUCUACACUAUAUCAUUAUUUUUUUUGGUGUGUACUUUAACCACUCCCAUAUAUUUUUGGUGUUACAUUUUGCUAGAAUCUUGCUCCAAUUAGUAGGGAACCUGGCUAGUGUAAGCAAGAUGCUUCACCCACUGCCCCUACACAUAUUCCCUCCCUCCCUCCCUCCUCUCUCUCUCUCUCUCUCUCUCUCUCCUCACGUCACUCACUCACUCACUCCACUGCCACCCACACAACACGCAAACACGACAAUUGCCAUCUAAUUCCUAUGCUUUUGAUCACCAUGGGAUUUGAUUCCUACCACCUCCCUCCAACUCCCCAACUCGCCCUUUUUUUUUUUUUUUCCCCCAAGUGUCAAAAUUCAAAAAAACAUUAUGGAAGGAUAUUUUUUAUGGCACCAUUUGGCAACAAAUCCACCUUUUAGUCCCUUUUCCAUGUUCAAUAAAAGAUCGAAUCGUGCAAUAGCACGACAUGGAAACAUCUUUUUUUAACCAAAAAAAAAACAAAAAAACAAAUUUAAACUAGCCACCUAGAUCUAUGCAAUUUCCCCCCUCCAACCGGGAUCCGCCGGCAGGAAUGGUUUUCUUCCCCAAUUUUUGCCCCUGUACCCUGAAAGUGAUAUCGGUCAAGCAUAGAUGAAAUCUCCUGACCAAUGUUGGGUGUGGGAACAAUAUUAGUCUCUCGCUGCCUCACAUUGCUAGCCCUAAUUCUGCAUUUAUUGGAUGCUAAUAAAGGUCUACAACAACCGUAUAGUUAAUUCAACUCUUGUACCAACGGAAGGUAUUUUACGUUUAUUUAAGUUCUUAAAAAUGGAUAUAGAUAAAAAUAUCGAUAGUGAUCAAUAUAAUAAUCAAAGGGUAACAGUAUAGUCUUAAAAAUAGGUCAACAUGUUUUCGUAAUUGGAAUUUGGAAUUUGUUGUUUGGUACCUUGAUAAAUAGAGAGAGACACAAGGUGGGACACAGAUGACUGACAAAGGACAAUGAAUAAGUGGCGGUCCAUGGCGCUGGCGGGUCGCGCCACUAGGACCGACAUAAAGCAAGGAUUCUGUUCUCGAUUCAGGAAUGUAGUAGACCAAAACUACGUCAAGACAGUAUAUUUUGCGAGAAAGGGGAAGAUUACCAUUAGGUCGACAUCGCAGAGGAAUAUGUCAACUAAAACCCACUAUAGUAAUCAUUCGUAAUGCAACCGCAUGUAAAGAGGGUUAUAUUCCUUGCGACGAACUUCAUGCACGGGUUGGCAUUUCAAAUGUGUGGAGAGCUAUGGAGGGGCAUGGAAUUAAGGAAAUAAAUUUAUAUUAAUUACUAUUUUGUCUCUUCAACAAAGGGUUGCUGGGCCCCAAAUUGAAAUUAUAAAGGAAGUGUAACCAAUUAUACAUUUACCCUUCAAACAAAUGAAAGGACUGUCAAAGAUUGGUUCUAAAUCGUUUCCAACUUCUCUAAUAUUUUGAGGGCAUUAGAAGUGAUGGACUGAACGGAAGGUGGAUCCUUGAUCACUAUCAAAGCUGAAUUAUAUUUCCAAAUCAGUAGGACUUCAUCUCGGCACCAAUUCCACAUCAUCUAAGAUUUCCACCAUUUAUCAAAGAUCGAAGAAAAUGAAGAAUUCUAACAAUUUUUCUUUAAAAUGGAUAAAAUUUAUAAGCUAGUCCAAACACCUAAGUAUGAUUUCUCCAUAAAAUAGAUUAACGUUGGAUUUAGAUUAAGGAUUUAGGGUAGGAUUUGCAGACAAAAAAGAAGAGAAAAAAAAGAAAUUUAUUCUGUCAGAUUCAUUAAUUUUUUCUUCCACCAAAUCCUUAAUCCAAACACAACCGAAUAAUAGUAAUAAGAUUAUCGUUUUACUUAAGAUUAUGAAUUAUCCAACCUAGUCUUAGGUUAAUCAUUAAUGGAUAGCAAAUGUGAAGUGCCCCAACGCAGUAGAAAAAGGAAAAGAAAAAAAAAAAAAAAAAAAAAAAAAAAAAAAAAAAAAAAAAGAAGAAUGAGGAGGAAAAUAAAAGAAAAAAAAAAAAAAAAAAAAAAAAAAAAAAAAAAAAAGAAAAAAAAAAAAAAAAAAAAAAAAAAAAAAAAAAAAAAAAAAAAAAAAAAAAAAAAAAAAAAAAAAAAAAAAAAAAAAAACAAC